rnacentral:sRNA from 1 species
GCUGGGUGUGGUGAUGCAUGCCUAUAAUCCCAGCAACUUGGGAGGCUGAGGCAGGAGGACCCCAGGUUCGAAGCCCCCCUCAGCAACAUAUUGAGGCCCUAAGUAACUUACUGAGAUCUUGUCUCAA